rnacentral:tRNA from 1 species
GCCGGAGUGGCGGAAUCGGUAGACGCAGGGGACUUAAAAUCCUCCGCCGAAAGGCUUGCGGGUUCGAGUCCCGCCUCCGGCA